GACGAACGCUGGCGGCGUGGAUUAGGCAUGCAAGUCGAACGGUAUCAUCCUUUCGGGGGUGAGAGAGUGGCGAACUGGUGAGUAACACGUAGGUUAUCUACCCUCAAGACGGGGACAACCCAGGGAAACUUGGGCUAAUACCGGAUGUGAGCAACUUUUAGUUGUUUGAAAGGUGGCGUAAGCUGUCGCUUGGGGAUGAGCCUGCGUCCUAUUAGUUAGUUGGUGAGGUAACGGCUCACCUAGGCAAUGAUAGGUAGGCGGCCUUAACGGGUGGUCGCCCACACUGGGAUUGAGAUACGGCCCAGACUCCUACGGGAGGCAGCAGUCGAGAAUAGUCUACAAUGGUCGGAAGACUGAUAGUGCGACGCCGCGUGAACGAUGAAUCCCUUCGGGGUGUAAAGUUCUUUUAUAUGUGAGCAGUGCUUCUUAUAUUAACAGUAUGGGGAGAGAGAUAUUAGCAUAUGAAUAAGCAACGGCUAACUCCGUGCCAGCAGCCGCGU
rnacentral:rRNA from 1 species